GUGGGAGGGGGCUUGCUCCCGAUGGCAGUGUGUCAGUCACUUAAUUGUCAACUGACCCACCGCUAUCGGGGGCAAGCCCCCUCCCAC
rnacentral:misc_RNA from 1 species